AGAACUGUGAGGACAGGCCCACAGAGGACUCUUCUGUCUGUGUGUCUGUCCAGCUGUUUGUUCUUCCCAGUUGACCAGCAGGCACAGAGUGGGAAGUAAGAUCAAAAGCAGAGAGAUGGAGAAAUAGCUGUGUCAGCAUUGGAGUUCUAAUCUGGCCACUCAGAGAAUGGUCCAUAAACCAGCAGCAUCAGCGGCACAUGAGAGUAUAUUGGAAAUGCAGAAUCUUGGAAGGUGCCCCAGACCUGCUGAAUCAGACCCUGCAUUGUAGGGAGGAGAAGGAGCUUCACCGGAGCAUUCAAUGCCACAGAGAGCAGCAAUCAGCAGUGUGUGGCCACAGUUCAGUCUUCCGUCAAGCACACAGAAUAUCUGGGCUUGGGGCUGCCUCUAAAGCCAAGUGUUUUCUCUGCAAACUUCAGUUUUUUGUAGCUGUGAGGUGGCAAUAAAAAGAUAUUCUUAGUAGCUACUAUGCACACUCACAUUCCAGACAUGGAAGAUUUGGCUCUAAACAGAGCAGAUCAGAAUCCUUGCCCUUGUGGAGCUUAGAGUCUAGUGUCAGAAGACAGAUCAUAGGAUAACUUAAUAAAGUAGGUGAUGCUGGGAGCUAAGUGAGGUGGAGCAAAAAGGGAGGACCGGAUGGGAGGUGUGAAGUCUCAGAUGAGGUGGCUGCAUUGCCAAGGUGAUGUUGAGUGGUACGGAUCUGUGAAAGGAAAGCGGUGUGUAACACUUGGCAGAGAGUCGAGGGGCAGAGACCAGGAA